ensembl:snRNA
GUGCUGUGUAAGAGGAGAGAAGGACAGCACUCCCUUUGACAAGGAUGGAGGAGGCCCUUGGGCCCGACAGCACACAUACAGGUACGCCACUGAUUUCGAGGCAUCUUACCAUCAUUCUUU